CUCAUGCCAAGAGACCCGAGUGCUGAGCACUCUGAGCGAGCACUCUGCCUGUGCACAUCCCGAGUUCCAACAACCUCCAAGGCCAGCACUGGCUGCUCCUGUGCUCUCUUUACAGGCAAGCAAACCCAAGCACACAGGGAACCUGGCCCAGGCUGCGUAAUGGUAAGGGGCCCACAGGAACUCAACCGGGGAACCCUGGCUCCCAAAGAAGAGGCAGGCUUUUCUCUAACACCUGGAAGGACAGAAGAGGAAAAAAAAGCCAUCACUACUGAGCAUCUACUGUGUGCACAAGGCGGUGCACAGGACACUCACUGUGGCUCUGGACUCUACAUGAGAGUUCCAGACCUGGGUGGGAUGGGGAGGGGCUCCAGCCACCAUAUCCCACUGAAGCUGCUGCAACAGGACAUGGUCAGUGGUGGAGGACCUUCACUUUGCCAGGUCAAGGCCUCCUGCCACAGCACUGAGGAACCGUGUGCCACAUUCUUGGUAAGUUUUUUCUUCUUUUAUUGCCAAACUCAAAUUUAUACACAAGUUCCAGUUUUUAUUUCCACCCUCGUGCUCAGUACCCAGGAAGCAUGAGUCACUCAGGCAAAAGCAGGUACUUCCCUAGGAUGGCCAGAAGUGCUGAGAUUGCUCAACUCCCGCUCCUCCCUGGGACAAGAGCUAUUUACGUAUUUUCAGCUCACAGGGACAGAAGACAACUUUACAGGUUAUGCUUGACAGUAACAUCAUUACGUUACACAUUUCAUAUUUAUUGCAUCUAGAAAAGAUCAGAAUUGGUUUGCCAGUGCCUUUUUAAAAACAGUGCAUCUUGGAGGCCUCACAGAAACUCAGUGCCUGUCUUUAGGAGGUGUAUUUUGUCACCCAUGCCUGGAACGCUAUGCAGGCAUCUGGAUGAUGGUGGUGAAGGGGAGCUGCCUCCUGCACGUAGAGAAGCCAGGCAGGGCAGGCGGCAGGGGGCCUGCUCCUCUGUGGCUCCCUCUUCUGAGGGAGUGCACCUUUCCCUGUAGGGGGUACCCUGGAUGCCCAAGCCUCUAAACCAGAAAGCGAUGUGCAACUUUCAAAGCAGAGAGGUUUGGGGAUUCAGCGGCAAAUACUGCUAGGCAAGCCCAAUGGGCCCGGCCGUGGACUUGGGAAGGUGACCAAGCAGGCCACAGUGCUCUCUGUAGGACUUGGAGGUGGUGGAUGGGUGGGUGCUGGAGGGCUCACCCCAGAUGCCUGUGCAGGACCUGCAGGCAGGAGCUGUGGCCCUAGCAAUGGGGUUGCUCAGACCCCUGACCCUACUGAGAGGUCUGCCUGUUGUCUGGGCUGGCUGGUGUGGGGUGCUCCUAAACACACAACCGUGUCCACCAUCACCAAGAAGACCUGGGUGAGGCAGGUCCUUCAUCAGAGCCCAAGGGGCCAACUGCCACCUCUACCAUGAGGCCAGCUAGAGCCACUGAUUUCAGGCAGCAGUUGGUGGUCCCAAGAAGGGGCCCACCUGCAUGGGUUUCAAUCCUUACGAUGCUGGGCAGGGGAUCACUGCUUUCUCUCAUCUCUGCUGUGCCAAAGGAGUCAUUCCAAAGCCAGAAGGACAUGGCUCUGGGGCUUCUGCUCCAUGUCGACCUGCCUCCCUCUGAAAGAUCAGGCAGAACACAUGGCCUGCAGCUGGAUGACAUGGGCCUCUCCCCAAUGACCGUGUCUUUCCUCCCACCUGACUGCACAGACCUGUUCCCAAUGGCUCCUCAGAUAAACAGAGAUCGCAUCAGCUGCAGGCGUGCAGAGUUAGUAACAGAGAAAGAAUAAUCAUUUAAGAAAGUGGAGAAACCAAGAACUCUAAGACAAGACGUUGACAAAUUCAAGGGAAAACGAAACCUUAACAGUAUCAUCACACUUUCAACAUGACAUCAAACCUUGGCGGUGAGGAUUUUUUUCCCCCAAAAUAGGUGCUUUUUAAAUAAAUGCAUUUUAAUCUGCUGCCAAAA
rnacentral:lncRNA from 1 species